AUGGCAAGUGGGGAUGAUGACCUUCGUGCGCGUCGUGCUGGUAAUAUAAAAUUGAGUGCCCGUGAAAAGAGUCUGUGUUAUCGAUAUGACCAACCCAUUGACAAGCAAUGUGCUUCAUCCUCAGGAAGUGACAAGGAGCAAGGUUAUAAUACAGUGGUGGCACUGGAAAGGGUGGCGACAGAGUCCAAAAGGGUGGAGGUGCUGCUGCACUUGGUUCUGGAAUUGGCAUGGAAGGAGGGGCAGCUGAUGAUGGAACUAAUUCUUGUGGGAGGAUCCAGCGUCAUGACUGUGACUGUGAGCCUGGAUACACAUUCAGGGGUUCUUCAGGUUAGUGGAAUUGUUGAAUGUUUGAGAGUAGUAUAUAGUGCAUAUCAGGGCGGAUGUACGGAUAACUUGUGUCGACCACAAUGUCAGAGGUUGGAGGUAGCUCAAGCCAAGGAGGAUGUGGUGGCAAUGCAAAUGUUGAAGGUGCAUAAAUUUUCCAGAAUGAAUAAUUCGGGGGGGAGGGGGGGGAAGGGUUGCCAUAAAUUUUUCAUUGCCAAGACAGUGUUGCAGGUAAGCUGCCGUGGCAAAACUUCUGGAUUGCUGCUGCAGUGA
rnacentral:rRNA from 1 species